rnacentral:rRNA from 1 species
UACGUAGGGUGCAAGCGUUGUCCGGAAUUAUUGGGCGUAAAGAGCUCGUAGGCGGCUUGUCGCGUCGUCUGUGAAAUCCCGCGGCUCAACUGCGGGCUGCCAGUCGAUACGGGCAGGCUGGAGUUCGGUAGGGGAGACUGGAAUUCCUGGUGUAGCGGUGAAAUGCGCAGAUAUCAGGAGGAACACCGGUGGCGAAGGCGGGUCUCUGGGCCGAUACUGACGCUGAGGAGCGAAAGCGUGGGGAGCGAACAGG